CUUGAGCCCAGGAGGUCAAGGUUUCUGUGAGCUAUGAUCGCACCACUGAACUCCAGCCUGGGCAACAGAGCCAGAGCACUUCUCAAAUAAAAAAGGACCAAAGAAAAAUACCUAACCUAACUUAUACUGCUCAUUAGGAUGGCACAGUGUGAUAAUCUAAUGUAAGCCCUGUGGGGGCCGGAAUUUUAAUCUGUUAUUCACUGCUGUAUUCCUUAUGUUUCGUGCAAUGUCUGCAGAUAUUCAUUGAGUACAUGAAUAUAAGGAUUAAAAAUAAGAGCUGAGUUUGUUUUUAUACCCUUAAUACAUCUUUUGACUUUUACUAUUGGAAUUUCCUAUCUAUAGUUAAGAUGUUAAAGAAAAGUAAUUUUCUACCUUUUUCUCACAAAUCUCCGAGUAAGGAGAUUUCACAGCUUUUCUGGGCUAGUAAUUGAUUUUUGGCAUAUCUCAAACUUUUACUAUUAGGAAGAUCAGUGUAUCUAAAGUAAGUCUUGCAAUUUGAAUUCAAAUCCCUUAGUUUUUUGUUUUUUGUUUUUAUAUUUUUGAGAUAGGGUUUCGCUUUGUCACCUAAGGCUGGAGUGCAGUGAUGUGAUCAUGGCUCUCUGCAGCCUCCACCUCCUAGGUUCAAGUCAUCCUUCUACUUCAGCCUCCUGAGUACCUGGGACUACAGGUGCAUGCCACCAUGCCCAGCUAAUUUUAAAAAAUUUUAUUUUUAGUAGAGAUGGGGGUCUUGCUAUGUUGCUAGGCUGGUCUUGAACUCCUGGGCUCAAAUGAUCCUCCCUCUUUGGCUUCCCGAAGUGUUGGGAUUACGGGUGUGAGCCAUCACGCCUGGCCAACAUCAGUUUUACUUUACCAUAACAUUGCUGUUAUUUUUUGAAUCUUUUUUAUAAUUUUAUUUCUAGUUUUUCACUUUACAAAUUUUCUGUGAUAACCAUUGUUGUGCACAAGUCUUUGAUGUACUUCUGAUUUUUUGCUCCGGAUAUAUUGUUGAAAGGGAAAUUACCGUGCCAAAGGGAACACAUGCUUGUACGGCACCUAAUAUGUAUAUUGCCACAUUGCUUUCCAGAAAGGCUGCACUAGAAUUAACCUCCUGAGCAGUGUAUGAGCAGGCUUGGCUCACUGCAAGCCACACUGGCUCUCUUUAUCUUAUCUGUCUCCCCAUCUGCCUUUGUUGGCUUGGGGGUGUAGGGCUUUUAAGUCUCUACUACACCUCUAAACCUAGUCCCAUAGAUAUAGUACAAGUCAGGAGAAGGUUAUAGCAGCUGUGUAAUCCAUCUUUCCCUGUACCAAACCUGGAAGAGGAAUGACAAGAAUUCAAGUGUAAAUCUAACCUUUUUUUGAGGCAGAGUCUUGCUCUGUCACCCAGGCUGGAGUGCAAUGGUGCGAUCUCGGCUCACUGCAACCUCCGCCUCCUGGGUUCAAGCGAUUCUCUUGCCUCAGCUUCCCUAGUAGCUGGGAUUACAGGUGCCCAUAGCCACGCCUGGCUAAUUUUUGUAUUUUUAGUAGAGAUGGGUUUCACCAUGUUGGCCAGGCUGGUCUUGAACUCCUGACCUCAAGUAAUCCACCCCCCGCCCCCAGCCUCUCAGAGUGGUGGUAUUACAGGCAUGAGCCACCGCACCCGGCCAAGUCUCACCUUUUACUUGCUUUUUAUAAAUCAUCAUUCUCUCCUGAUCUUUGAUAAAGGGACAAAAACCCAAACUGGAGAAAUUGCUGAAGGGAAGAAGAAAGGUUAAUGAGAAACAGACUCUUGAUCACCCAAACCAUUGAUUUUUUUUUUUUUUUUUUUUGAGAUGGAGUCUCGCUCUGUUGUCCAGGCUGGAGUACAAUGGCGUGAUCUUGGCUCACUGCAACCUCUGCCUCUCCGGUUCAAGUGAUUCCCCUGCCUCAGCCUCCUCAGUAGCUAGGAUUACAGGCACGUGCCACCACACCUGGCUAAUUUUUGUAUUUUUAGUAGAGACGGGGUUUCACCGUGUUAGUCAGGCUGCUCUCCAACUCCUGACUUUGUGAUCCACCUGCCUCGACCUCCCAAAGUGCUGGGAUUACAGGAGUGAGCCAUUGCACCUUGCCUCUCCACUGACUUUUUUUUUUUUUGAGACGGAGUCUCACUCUGUCACCCAGGCUGGAGUGCAGUGGCGCAGUCUCUGCUCACUGCAACCUCUGCCUCCUGGGUUCAAGAGAUUCUCCUGCCUCAGCCUCCCAGGUAGCUGGGACUACGGGCGCCCACCACCACACCCGGCUAAUUUUUUUGUAUUUUUAGUAGAGACGGGGUUUCACCAUGCUGGCCAGGGUGGUCUUGAACUCCUACCUCGUGAUCCACUCGCCUCGGCCUCCCAGAGUGCUGGGAUUAUAGGCGUGAGCCACUGCACCCAGCCUACCAUUGAUUUUUAAAUAACUAUUUUUUGGUAAACCAGCGUGAGAAUUUCAGAGAUUAAUAAAAGUUGUAAAUUGCUCCUCCCUCGUUUUAAUGGUGAAAAGAUAGUCAAGGAGAUUGUGAAGGAGAAAGUUAUAUGAAUAAAUAUGGUAAUGCAGCAGUCCUAUCAUGUUUAAAUUUGCUGUGUGCAUUGUACUUUAUGGGUUAAGAGAUUUUCAAGGGUAAUUGGGCCAUAUAGGAUAUUGUGCUUAGUAUGUUGUGGGGUUAUGACUGUGGAAUUAUCUGUGUUUUGGACAUUUGGUGGUAACUGCUUUUCUUUUAUCUCCAAUAGAAGCCCUCCUAUACAGUAAGUUUUGGUUAUGAUGUGCUUAGUUAAUUGAGGGGAAAAACUGAUAAAGCAGGAAAAUCAGAAAUAUAUAUUCAUGCAUUAAUCUUUUUUUGGUUUUUCUUUUUUAUGUAGACGGAGUCUUGCUCUGUCGCCCAGGCUGGAAGUGCAGUGGCAUGAUCUCGGCUCACUGCAACCUCUGCCUCCUGAGUAGCUGGGACUAUAGGCACAUGCCACCAUGCCCGGCCAAUUUUUGUAUUUUUUGUAGAGAUGGGGUUUCGCCAUGUUGGCCAGGAUGGUCUCGAAUUCCUGAGCUCAGGCAGUUCGCCUGCUUCGGUCUCCUAAAGUGCUAGGCUUACAGGCAUGAGCCACCAUGCCUGGCUCAUGCAUUACUCUUUUAAAAAGUAUGUAUUGUGGAAAAUUUCAAACAUAAAUGAAAGUAGAGGGAAUAAUAUAAUGAACCCCUAUGUGCCUGUCGCCUAGUUUAAACAGUUGUCAUCUUGUGACCAAUCUUGCAUUUAUACCUUUCCCACUUCCCCGCUUUUUUCCUGGAUUUUGAAGCAUAUCCCAGAAUCCUUUCAUUUCAUCGGUAGAUAUUUUGGCAUGUAUCUCUAAAUAGAUGAAGAUUCUUUAAACAAACAAACAAAACCAAACCCCAGGGCUGGGUAUGGUGGUUCAUGCCUGCCAUCCCAGCACUUUGGGAGGUCUAGGUAGGUGGAUCGCUUGAGGCUAGCUAGUUCAAAACCAGCCUGAGCAGCACGGUAGUAGUGAGGCCCCAUCUCUACCAAAAAAUAAAAAUAAGUGAGCGGUGGAUGGUGGUAAGUGGCUGUAGUUCUAGCUACUUGGGAGGUUGAGCUGGGAGGAUUGCUUGAGCCCAGGAGUUCCAGAUUACAGUGCAGUAAACUAUGGUUGCGCCACUGCAUUCCAGCCUGUGUGACAGAGACCCUGUCUCUAAAAAGGAAAGAAAGAAAAGAGAGAGAAAAGAAAGAAAGAAAGAUUGAUUAGCACAUAGGUUAAUAUUUUGUUAACCUGUUGAUGCAGGGCCAAGGCUUUUUCUUUGUGUGCCCUAGUUGGAGUUCCUUAAUUUUGUUUCCAUUAAAUACACCCAUAAUUCAUUAUCUAUAAUUUCCAGUUUUGUUUGCUUUUUAAAGCAGAACAUGAAUUUAAUGGCAUUUGUGAAGCAAUAUUAGUACAGCAUCCCUCUUGAUUUUUAUGACUCCUUCCCAGUCUUUUAUACUCAUCUCAUUCACGUCUAAUUUACUAUGUCUUUUUAAGCAUUUGAUGAAGUUUUCAUAGAAACGUAUCUCCUUAAUUUUUCAUCAGUUUACAUUCUAUUUAAUUAAAUUACAUAACUGUAAUAAUGAGCAACUGGUAUAAAUAGGUUUGGGAAAAAAACAGUUAAUUAUUGGUAAGAAUAUAACUUAAUAACGGGAGGCUGGGCCCGGCGCGGUGGCUCAUGCCUGUAAUUGCAGCACUUUGGGAGGCCCAGGCAGGCGGAUCACCUGAGGUCAGGAGUUCCAGACCAGCCUGGCCAACCUGGUGAAACCCUGUCUCUACUAAAAAUACAAAAAUUAGCUGGGUGUGUUGGUGCAUGCCUGUAAUCCUAGCUACUCGAGAGGUCUGAGGCAGGAGAAUUGCUUGAACCUGGGAGGCAGAGGUUGCAGUGAGCCAAGAUCCUGCCACUGUACUGCAGCCUGGGCCACAGAGCGAGACUCCAUCUCAAACAAACCAACCACAAAAAAACCAAAAAACUUAAUAAUGGGAGCAGCAGAAGCUUAUAAGAGUAAGAGACAGCUGUUAUUAGUUGGGGCCAGUUUGCAUGUUGGGGGCAUUGGUUGCUUUACUGAGACAAGGAGAAGCAUUGAUUAUUUUGGCAGGUUGGUUGAGUGAAGGUGGGCUAAGAGAGCUUCUGCGUUAAUUUAAAAUGAUAAAGAAGUCAAAGCUGUUAGAAAUUUGAGGACAAGUUAUUUUAUAGAAUCUUUUAUUAUUUAUAGUGUGUACUUCGAGGUGGUAUUUUUGUCCACUUAUGUUAGAAUUUGUGUGAACUGAGCUGAAUUUGGUAAUGAGUCAGUGGUAUUAAAAACUUGGUGAAGAAACUGGCCAAACUCUUUAGUUUAAGAGGUUUAUAUCUGUUCACUGCUAGUGUAGUGUUCUGUGGAACAAGUUGACAUUUUCUUGUAGUAAGUUGUUUUCUGUUUCUGGCGGAAGCAAUCUUGGUUCAUAUGCUGCAAGAAACAGAACUGUUUUUAUUGUGGAAGACAGGAGCAGAGCUGUGUGUUUCUUAUUAGGAUGAGUUGGACACCUGCAGGAUUUCUUCUCUCUUUCUGCUUCUUGCCUCCUGUUGUCUUUUCCUUCUGUUAGAAUGUUCUAAUAUUGCAUAAGCAGCAUUCCGACAAUAGUUGAAUUUUUUUGGUACUUCAUUUUUUUAAACUCUCAAAAUAAUGUUUUUAGUGAUUGUAUGUUCUUGGCUUACUUUCCAUUUCUACAUCAACAGGGAUAUUGUUAUUCUAGUCAAAUGGGGUAGUUGUAUUCUGGCAAUGAUCUUUGGGUCCAAGUCAGCUGCAGAAACAACACUUUCAUAUAUUAUACCUAAAUAUCUUACAUGUGUAUGGUAAUUCUGGGAGGUAAUUAAAUGUUGGGAUGGUACUUUAGGAUCUCUUUAAAGGAUUUCACAGUUCUCAGGAAUAAAAUAACUUGUUUGAAGCAUGUUACUCAUUGGCCUUUGACCAUGCAAAAGGGUAGCCAGUGAUUUUAGCCUACUGCCUCUUCCGAUCUCAUUUUCCUCCUUUCUUUUGAGGCAGCAGCUGCAUCCAGUGCCCUGCUCUAAUUGAGCUCUUAGUAAAAGGGGUAUUGUUAUACCAAGUCACAACCUCGUAUAGCAGUGAGGUUACAUCAAUGGUUGUUAGAUUUUUAGGCCACGCAUCCAUUUUGGAGUCACAUUAAAUUUUGAAAACCAAAAUUUAGUUGCAUUACCUAAAUUUCUCUUCCUUUUCUUAUCCUGAUACCAGGAUAAGAAUAGGUUUUCUGUUUUUCCAGCUCUUUGUGGAACCUUUUUGGCCCAUCAGAGUUGCUUGCGACAAUCUGUAGUUAAAGAACUGAGACUGGUGCGGGAAUCGGGAUGUUUCUGGUUCCAGUUUUUACUAGCCAGCAGUUUGACUUUGGGCAAAUUACUUAACCUCAGGGGGCUUCCAGUUUCUCUUUAAUUUAUAAUUUUUUCAACUGCUUUAUUGAGGUACAUUUCACAGACCAUACAGUUCACCCAAUUUUUUUUAAGUGUAUUCAUGGAGCUGUGCGACCAUCACUAUAAUACAUUUUAGAACAUUUUCAUUAUCCUUAAAAGAAGCAUGGUACCCAUUAGCAGUCACUGCUUAUUUCUUCAACCUCUCUUCUCAGCCCUAAGCAACCACAAAUUAAUUUUUAUCGAUUUACGUCAUCUGGACACUUCAUAUAAAUAGAAUUAUGCAGUGGGUGUCCUGUUGUAUUUUACUUCUUUCACUUGGUGUAAUGCCUUCAAGGUUCAUGCAUGUUCUUACAUAUGUUGGAAUCUCAUUAUUUUUUUAUGGCUGAAUAAUAUUAUGUUGUAUGGAUACGCCACAUUUUUAAAAUCAAUUCAUGAAUUGGUGGGCAUUGUUUCUACUUAUUGGCGAUUAUGAAUAAUAUGGUCUUGAACAUUUGUGUACAAAUUUCUGUGUGAUCAUGUUUUCAUUUUUUUCUUGGGCAUAUACCUAGGAGUGGAAUCGCUUGGUCAUGUGGUGACUCCUUGUUUAAGGUUUUGAGCAACUUCCAAACUGUUUUCCACAGUAGCUGCCCCAUUUUAUAUUCUUACCUGCAAUGUAUGAGGGUUUCUGUUCUGUCUACAUCCAAAACUUAUUUUCUUUUUUUUGAUUUUAGCCAUCCUAGUGGAUGUGAAGAAGUAUUGCAUUGUGGUUUUGAUCUACAUUUCCCUAAUGAACAAUGGUAGUGAGCAUCAUUUCAUGUGCCAGUUGAUCAUUUGUAUAUUUCCUUUGGAGAAAUGUCUAUUAACAUCCUUUGCCCAUUUUUGAAUUGGAUUAUUUGUCUUUUUAUUGCUGAGUUGUAAGAGUUCUUUAUGUUUGGGAUACAAGUCCCUUAUCGGAUACAUGAUUUACAAAUAUUUUCUGCCAUUCUGUGGGUUGUCUUUUCAGUUUCUUGGUAGUGUUGUUUGCAGCACAAGUGUCUUUAAUUUUGAUUCUCUAGUUUCUUAAUUUAUAUAGUUGUUUAAACUCUGAAACUAUAUGUUUUAUUGAGAUUAUUUUCCUCUGUGCUCAUUCUGUACUUUCUCCCAUGUUCAUAUAGCUCUCUCUUUCCCGGGACGUUUUCUAGCCUCAAAGACUUUAUUUUUUUGAUUAAUUUAUUUAUUUUGAGACGGAGUCUCGCUCUGUCGCCCACGCUGGAGUGCAGUGGCGCCAUCUCGGCUCACUGCAAGCUCCGCCUCCCAGGUUCAUGCCAUUCUCCUGCCUCAGCCUCCUGAGUAGCUGGGACUACAGGUACCUGCCAUCACGCCCGGCUAAUCUUUUGUAAUUUUUAGUAGAGACGGGGUUUCACCGUGUUAGCCAGGAUGGUCUUGAUCUCCUGACCUUGUGAUCCGCCUGCCUCGGCCUUCCAAAGUGCUGUGAUUACAGGUGUGAGCCACUGCGCCCGGCCUCUAGCCUCAAAGACUUUAAAAACAUCUGUCUAUGUAUUUGCCUCUCUAAUACAUGUGUCUUACAAAAUAAUCAAACCUUACAAAAUGUAUAACAAAGAAAGUGAAAGUUCCUCAUCUCUCCAGAGAAAACAUUAACUAUUUAUAACCAGAUUUUUUCCCCAUUCACAUGGUAAAAAUUUUUUUUAAUUAAAAAAGGGAACAUACCACAAUCUAGUUUGCCACUUGUUUUUUCAUUUAAUAGUAUAUCUCCAACAUUAUUCCAUGUCAGUACACUUUGUCCUUGUCUCAAUCAUUUUAAUGGCUGCAGAGUAUUCUAUUUUAUGGAUAUACUAUACUUUACAUAGUAGCCUAUUGAUAGAUUUUAGGGUUGUUUCUAGAUAUUGUUUUAUUUUUUUGAGACAGAGUUUCUCUGUCACCCAUGCUGGAGUGCAAUGGCAUGAUCUUGGCUCACUGCAACUUCUGCCUCCCAGAUUCGAGUGAUUCUCCCACCUCAGCCUCCCAAGUAGCUGGGAUUACAGGUGCGCGCCACCACACCCAGCUAAUUUUUGUAUUUUUAGUAGAGACGGGGUUUCACCAUGUUGGCUUGGCUGGUCACGAACUCCUGGCCUUGAGUGAUCCCCCUGCCUCAGCCUCCCAAAGUGCUGGGAUUACAGGUGUGAGUCAGCGUGCCCAGCCCAGAUUUUAUUGUUUUAAUUACAAAUUUUACGUAAGUUGUUUCUGCACAUUUAUAUUUGCACACUUGUGCUAGUGGUUUUUUUUUCUAUUCCAUUUAUUUGCUAUUGCAGUAUUUACUAUUCAAAACACGUAGACUUAUUUUAAAAAAUAAAAGAAUUUUAUUUAGUGUGACCUAGAGUCAACGUCUCAAAAGUUAUGUAUUCUUUUCCAUCAUGAUAUAUACAAUGUUCUGAUCUUCUUUUAAAGCCAGAGUCUUCAUUUUCUUGGUAAUUGUAUAGAAUAAUUUACUAGAAGUGGAAUGCUUGGAUCAAAGUAUGAGUGCUUAAAAUCAUGUAAGAUGUUGCCACAUCACCCUCCAAGUAAGGCCAUGCCAAUUCACUCAGCUUGAGAGUGUAUGACAGUGAUUUUUCUGUUCUUUUUAACCCUGGCAAAUAGCCUUUUUAGGGAAUUAAUCUGACAGGUGAAAAAAUGUCAUUUUAUUAUUUGUAGUUACUUAUUAGUACAUUCGAGCAUCAUUUAAUUUGUCUGUUGGUUGUCUUUCUGCUUUGUCUACUUUUCUGUUGGGCUUUUGGCUUUUUCUUAUUCAUCAGUUGUCAUAGCUUUAUUAUUAUUAUUAAUGUUUUAAAAAAAUUGAGUUGGAGUCUCACUCUGUCACCCAGGCUGGAGUACAGUGGUGCAAUCUUGGCUCUCUGAAACCUCUGCCUCCCAAAUUCAAAUGGUUCUCAUGUCUCAGCCUCCCAAAAUGCUGGGAUUACAGGCAUGAGCUGCUGUGCCUGGCCUGUAAUAGCUUUUUAAUAUUAGGGAAAUUAGUUACCUUAUAAAAUAUAUUACUGAUAUUUUUCUUUGUCUUUUGACUUUGUGUGUGUGUCUAAUAUAAAAUGAAAAUGCUUUUAUUUUUAUAGUCAGAUUUUUCUGUUUUUUUUUCUCUUUAUGGCUUGCUUUUUAAAAUUCUAAUUAUAUAAAAAUAUUUACCCAUUUUUUUCAACUACUUUUAUGGUUUUGUUUUUAAAUGUAAAUCUUUGCUUCAUGUGAAAUGCAUUUUGAUAUAAACCAAAUGAGAUAGGGGAUGAGUUGUAGAAUUUAUUAGAGUUGUAAAUUUACAUUUAUUUUUGUGAUUAUUAAUGGCUUAUUCCUACUUGACUGUAAGUCUCAUGAGGGCAAUGUAUUGUGUUGUUUUGUUUUUCCCUUGCUCUUAUUUUCAGUGUCUAGCACAAUGCUUGCCUUGUAAUACACCCUCCAUUUAUUGAAUAAAUGAGUCUAGGUUUUUCUCCAGGUCUCUAGCUUCUCCUGACACAAUUAAUUGCAUAAUUGCUCUUUUCCUUCUUGAUUUAAAAAGCAACACUAUCAUUUACAAAACUCCAAUAGAUACUUAGGUACAUUUCUGAAUUCUAAUCCAUUGAGUGUGCUGUCUUUUCUUGCUUUGAUACUGUACAGCUUUAAUUAUGAUAGCUUUAUACAACUUAAAGUAUAUUUGGGAGGCCAGCUUUAAGCACUCUUAAAUAUAUUAUACCACAGUUUGGGAAGCUCUAUAAUCUCCUUUAUUAAACUUUUUGCUAUACCUUUGGAAACAUUCAUUUAACUUAACAAUUAAACACUUAAUCCAUUCUGAAAGUCAGCCUGCAAAGCAGAAAUGAUUUUUGGGGUGUUAUUUGGUGUAAAGAGUUUUUUUUUUUUUAGGAUAUCAUACUUAAUUCUGGCAUGACCUCUUUAGUGUCUUUUAAAAAACUCUCAUUUUAUAACUUUGGGCAUUUCUAGAAAAGCAACAUUUUUCUCACAGUUUUCUAAUGCAAAAUACACAGAGGGGUAGGUGGCAGAAAAGGUAUCGAGAUGAUUGUGUUGGCACCCCACUGAUGUCGAAGCAGAUAGUGGAAAAGACAUUACUUAAAAGUGUUUUGCAGAUUUCGGGUUAAAUUAAAAAUAUGACAAUUUUAAUUUAAUUUAAUUAAAAAUAUGACAAUUCUCAGGCCGGGUGUGGUGGCUCACGCCUAUAAUCCCAGCACUUUGGGAGGCCAAGGCGGGCGGAUUGCCUGAGGUCAGGAGUUUGAGACCAGUCUGGCCAACAUGGUGAAACCCCAUCUCUACUAAAAAUACAAAAAAAUUAGCUGGGCCUGUAAUCCCAGCUACUUGGGAGGCUGAGGCAGGAGACUUGCUUAACCAGGGAGGUGGAGGUUGCAGUGAGCCAAGAUCAUGCCACUGCACUACAGCUGGGUGACAAAGCAAGACUCCGUCUCAAAAAAAAAAAAAAAAAAAAGGUGUUAUGCAGAUUUCAGUUUAGCCACCUUGAUCCUCCCACCUUGUGCAUGACACGUUACCUUCCUGUGGCAUGCAGUAUUUGACUGAUUCAUUGGAUGUGACUUGCAUUAAGUUCAGAUAACAUUGCUGAAUAAUCACUUUCUUAUUCUUUAGUGUAGCCUCCUUUCUCUGUAGAACAUCAGAAAUUCUUAAACUCUGAAAUACAGCAUUCUCUUGGGAUUUUCUGUAAUGUCUUUCUCAUGUAGGAACCAACUUCAGGGUCUUGUGAGCAUCAGAGAAGUUUAAGGUCUAGGGAACUGAGCUAAUGGAACAAGGCAUGCCUAAUGUGAUAAAAUCCUUGCUUUCUUUGCAAUUGAAAUUGUUUAUUCUAAAUAACUGCUAAUUUACAAAUGUAUUUUCACAUGAUUACCCAUUCUGUUCUCAAAGAGCAUAAUAGGGGUUUUGUGACUUUCAGACUUUCCUGAAAAAGCCUAACCGUGGAUUUUAGAAUUAUUAAGCUAGAAAAAUACACACAUACACACACAGGUUUGUUUGGGACCCUUAGUCUCCACCCUGGAAUUAAGUGACACUGAAAAUAACUCUGGAAUAAAAGGUUUUUAUGUAGCAGAAUAGUUGACUUACAGGGGUUCUUCCCUUUGCACAUUUUCUCUGGGUAGAAAAUGAGCUUGUUUUUCUUUUAGUUGUAUUACAAUUUUUUUUUUCCUCAAUGCUAGUCUUAACUGAGAGAUUUUUAGGCAGUUAACUCUCCCAGCACAGCAAUAAGCAGCUUAUUAGUAGAUAUUAUCUCUUGUUGAUUUGUUACCCUUGAGAUUUACUGUGCUUGCAAAACACCUGUCUGUAUUUGAGCUUUGCUAGGUAGUUGGCUUUUGUGUUUGACUGAAGAUUUUUUCCAAAGAAAGCAAAUAGCUAUUAGGAAAAGAAAGAGUCAGCAAAUUUCUGUAUGCUUUCAUGGAAGAGAUUUCCCAAUUAGAAAGCUUUUGUAGGCUUAACCUUUUGCCCUAAAGUAACCCAACAUUUCAUUAUGUAUUCCAUUGAGGUUUUGGAGCUCGGCACCAGAAAGCGAGGACCAAGGUUGAAUGUGAAAGGAAUAUUCAGAGGAUGAAGCUCAUAGUCAACAAAGUGCUGCUUCAUAGGCUAGGUCCAAAAAUAACCUGCUUGCCAUAGGGAGCAAGAAUGGAGGUAGCAUUAGCUGCUGUUUUGAGCAGUGUUUCAUGUCCUGUCAUGUCAUUCCAGAAUGGUUUUUUGGUUUUGUUUAGAGACAGGGUCUUGCUCUGUUGACCAGGCCAGAGUGCAGUGUGGUGUGAUUGUAGCUCACAGUCACCUCAAACUCCUGGGCUCAAGUGAUCCUCCCAUCUCAGUUUCCUGAAUAGCUAGGACUACAGACACACACCAUUGCACUUGGCUAGUGGUUUUAUUUUUAGUAUAGACAGUGUCUCGGUUUGUUGCCUAGGCUGGUCUCAAACUCCUGGCCUGAAGCAGUUAUCCUACCUUGGCCUUCCAAAGCACUGGAAUUAUAGGCAUGAGCAGCCACACCUGGUCUCAUUCCAGAAUAAUUAAAAUUAUGUUUAAGGCAGCCGGGUGCAGUGGCUCAUGCCUGUAAUCUCAGUACUUUGGGAGGCCGAGGCGGGUGGAUCAUGAGGUCAGGAGUUCAAGACCAGCCUGGCCAAUAUGGUGAAACCCCGUCUCUACUAAAAAUACAAAAUAAAAAUACAAAAAUUAGCCGGGUAUGGUAAUUAGCGGGUGCCUGUAAUCCCAGCUACUUGGGAGUCUGAGGCAGAGAAUUGCUUGAACCCGGGAGGUGGAGGUUGCAGUGAGCCAAGAUCGCGCCACUGCACUGCAGCCUGGGUGACAGAGUGAGACUCCAUCUCGAAAAAAAAAAAAUUGUGUUUAAGGCAAUAUCAUUUAAAAUUUUAUUUUGGGAGAAUGUUGCCUUGGUAAAUUGGUAAAUAACAGUUGUUCUGAAAGGUUUCGGAAGAAUGCCUUUCUGCUAAAUUGAAGAAAUUAACAUAAUUUACUCUUC